rnacentral:rRNA from 1 species
CCUACGGGAGGCAGCAGUGGGGAAUUUUGGACAAUGGGGGCAACCCUGAUCCAGCCAUGCCGCGUGUGUGAAGAAGGCCUUCGGGUUGUAAAGCACUUUCGGCCGGAACGAAAUCGCGCGGGCCAACACCCUGCGUGGAUGACGGUACCGGAAGAAGAAGCACCGGCUAACUACGUGCCAGCAGCCGCGGUAAUACGUAGGGUGCGAGCGUUAAUCGGAAUUACUGGGCGUAAAGUGUGCGCAGGUGGCCGCGCAAGUCGAGUGUGAAAGCCCCGGGCUUAACUUGGGAAUUGCGCUCGAAACUACGUGGCUAGAGUGUGGCAGAGGAAGGUGGAAUUCCACGUGUAGCGGUGAAAUGCGUAGAGAUGUGGAGGAACACCAAUGGCGAAGGCAGCCUUCUGGGCCAACACUGACGCUCAUGCACGAAAGCGUGGGGAGCAAACAGGAUUAGAUACCCUGGUAGUCCACGCCCUAAACGAUGAUGACUAGUUGUUGGGGGAGUUAAAUCCCUUAGUAACGCAGCUAACGCGUGAAGUCAUCCGCCUGGGGAGUACGGUCGCAAGAUUAAAACUCAAAGGAAUUGACGG